GUCAGUGCACCAUUUUAGGGGUCCAAAAAUUUUUCCGGACGUACAAAAAUUUUCCGGAACAUUCAAAAAUUUUCCGCACAUAGCAAAUUUUCAACAUUUUUUUACAUUUUUCCAAAAUUUUUACAUUUUUCCUCAAAAUUUUCCUAAAAUUCCCACCACGUUCUUGCCCUUUGCGCCAAAAAUAUUUAACUCAAAUAGCAGUUCUACCGACUGAAUAGCAGUCCUACCGACUGAAUAGCAGUCCUGCCGACUGAAUACAAUUACUGGGGGGUGUCACACACCCCCACACCCCCCCCCCC